CAUUGUUUCUGAUGGCAACGUUUCUGAUUCUGGCUGUGGGUCCACAUUUCAGAUAUUAUGUCAUAUCAGCAGCACAUCUGGAUCAGCGCCGUUGUACCCCCGUUUUUAGAGAUGUGGGUACAGAGGGAAAGAGAGAGGGGUUUGUAUUUGUGACACUUUGUGAGUUCCCUGACAAACCGGGGACACAUAUUGAUGUAUAAAGGACAUUAAAAGUGCAUUCUGCAUGAUAGGUUCCCUUUCACUUUUGAUCAGACUUUCUACUGGACUAUAACCCGAGGUGCAGAAGCUCACAUGAAAGGCAGUAAACAGGAACCCCUCCCAGUUUCUUUAUGAGUCCUGCAGCUAUCACAUGAGGGUUUCUGUAACAGAUAUGAUGACCUUGUACAUUUCAGUAACCAUCCUGAAAGAUAACUUUUAAAUUACUCAUCUUAAAAUUGUGACUGGAAAUGUACUGUAUUAAUUUCCUGAAUGAACUUUUAGACAGUGAGGACUGAUCUCCUGCAGUGUGAACGUAAACAUACUAAAUGAAGAUGAUGGAUCAUUACUGGAUGUUGGCUGCUGUGUGACUAAUCUCUCCUGUGUCUCUGUCUCUAAGGAACCAGCAGAGAGGAUGCACAGUGUGAACUUUGUCCGUCUGGCUUCUAUUCAGAGCAUGGAGUGAAUUGCACGGACUGGACAGCGUGCUCAGGAACCCAGGCAACGAUGAAAGAAGGAAGCAGGAUCACCGAUGUUGUCUGUGGAGAUUCUUCAAGAAACCAUUACAUGGUCAUACCAUCAGUAUUAUUGUUUGUAUUAUUAGUUGUUGGGCUUGGGAUCACAGCUCUAUGUCACACCAAAAAAUAAACAGCCUGCUUUUCUUAAUUUUCAAUUUUCUAACAUCUUACUAAUCAGAAGACCAAAUUCCAUAUUUUGUUUAUAAUGUAUUUUCUUAAUGUUUGUAUUUACCAUACUAAUUCUAAUCUUUGUAUUUGUUAAACCACUUGUAAAUAAUAACGUUUUUGAUAACAGUGUUUUGUCUUUUGAUUGCCCUCAUAAUGUUACUUAAAGAAAUUGGUACUGCUCUGUAGAACUUCUAAGGAUAUUGGUUCAGCUGUAGCUGAAGCAAUACUGCACAUUGAUUUCACUGGAUAGGCGCUAAAGUAUCAAAGCUGUCAGAAAUGUAGUGUAGUAAAAGGUAUGUUCCCCUUUAUGAUGUAGUUGAGCAGAAAUAUAAAUGA